rfam:Polymorphum gilvum SL003B-26A1, complete genome.
AUCUGACACGCCCCCACGGUGGCCAGUCUGGCUCCGACGUUCGGGCGUGGUGCGAUGAC